UAUAUGGGACACUCCUCUCUGUCUUCACUUUGCGAUCAGUGAUGUUCAGGCUAGGUACAGGUGGAGGUGAGCUCUUGGGCUGAAGCCAUGUGGAGAAAGCAGCUUGAGUUGGAUUUUUUGGGAUCAUCUCUUCCAACUUCCGAAUUGAGGAGACUGAUUAUUUUGUUUCUAAAGAUGAUGCAAUGAAAGCCACUAAAAAGCCUUUAUUCCAGCGCAUUCCAGUGUAUUUUUUAAUGGAUAUAAAGCAAAAACAGCUGAGGACCCUUUGGUGGAGGAUGUGGAAAAAACCCCAGUAACGAAGCUCUGUAUUCCAGCCCCAUCUCACCACAACAGAAUCCCUGAUGAUAUCUGAAUCUCUGACCCGCCCCAUAAACCAAAAGAUAUUGAGCUUCAGACCGCCAAAUGAUGACCCUGUCAGUAACCACGAGUAGUCCAGAGGAUCAGAUAUUUUCACCGAAGAUAAUUCUGUCUGUAAGAGGAUCUGACAAAUGCUUCAUCUGAGGCUCCUCUGCAUCAAUAAAACUUGAUGUUCUGCACAAA